GUUGGGCGUGGUAGUGCGUGCCUGUAAUCCCAGCUACUAGGGAGACUGAGGCAGGAGAAUUGCUUGAACCCAGGAGGUGGAGGUUGCAGUGAGCCGAGAUCGUGACACUGCACUCCAGCCUGGGUGAGAGAGCAAGACUUUGUCUCAA
rnacentral:SRP_RNA from 1 species